ACCGUUGACUUGUCCCUAAAAAAAACGAAAGGGAAAGGUAGAAAAAAAUGGAUAGAUCGUUGAUUACGAUGGUGGUGAUGCAAAGCUUACCUAUGGUGUUCAGAUCAAUUUCAUCAUCCUCCAACACGAAGAAAAGAGAUUAGAAGAAGAUCGUUGAAGACAAAGGAAGCCGUAUUAAGAUUCGACAAAACGAUUGGAGGUUUUUCUUGGUUAAUUAGAAGAAAAACAUGCACGGAAAGAAAUAACCAAACAGAUGAUGGUCGGUGACGGUGAAAGCGAUACUUUUACCUUUGAAGCUGAAGAACAGAGUUUUUUUUUUAAAAGCGGUAUUAAGGCUGGACAAAACCAUUCGAGGUUUUUCUGGGUUAAUUAGAAGAAAUACAUAAACGGAAAGAAAGAUAUCUAAAGAUGAAGGUCAGUGACGGUGAAAGCGAAACCAUGAGCUUUGAAGAAUUGACAUGUUUUUCGAGAAGAUUGUUUCUGUAUCGUUUCCUACUACCAUGUAAAGGAAACUUUUGGAAGAAGAUAUUACUCAAGGCCCCGUGGAAGAAGAUUCAAUGAAGAACGUCCAUUCCCACUUUCUGGUCAAACCGAAAAAGGUGUCCUCGGACUGAUUGAUACAUCGUUCAGAACUCUACUGAAGAUUGAUGUAACCGGAAUAGAUAGGUUGCUGAUGGGGGAAUUUUUAUCUGUUGCAGAACAUGAAUCUCUUUGCAUUGUUCUGUCUGACUGAAUAGCUGUGGAAAGAGUCAACAGUAAAAGGAAGUGAAAAUGAUAGUACGGUACAUGACCAAAGCAAUGGAGAUGAAGAAAAUGAAGUUUUUCGGGAGCUAAUGAUAAACUCCAAAAGGCUAGAAGCGUUUAUCUAUCUUAAAAGUUUGCCAUGGUGCCAUCGAUGAAGGUAUGUCCUCUUCUUCUCAGCGAUUAAUAUAGAAAUCACACUGAGUUAGAAUUAUUUGGAAAUAUUAAUAGGUUGAUCAUAAAACAAUAUUAAUAGGUUGAUCAUAAAACAAUCUUUAACCAAGUUUUUUUUAUUUUUUCGGUUUCUUGUUUUAAAUUAACUAACAGAUUCAUACUUUUGUUUUUUUAAUCUAUUGUUUAAGAUUGUGAAGGUAGACUCGGCUGCUAAACAAAAACAUAAGUAUUGAAUAUAAAAAUCAUAAAAACAACAUUAAAAAACACCAGCAAUAAUAAAUAUAAAUAAAAUAAAUCCUCCGGAAAACAAAAACAUAGGUAUUAAAUAAAAAUCAAUUAAAAACCAGCAAUAAUAAAUAUAAAUAAAAUAAAAUUCAAAGGAAAAAGUUCAUCUGCGAAUCAACUAAUGUUUCUUUGUGGUCUCCAUCUUGAUCUUGACCGUGCACAAUUUCUUAGAUGUAGACGUCUUGUCUUGUACAUCAGCAUCAUCUUCUUUGCGCUUGGAAAAAGGCGUAGAAACACCUUCUGAUGAACUCGCAUUGUUUGUGUCAACAGAAAGCUAAGAAAUUUUAACAUAUGUUAGAACAAAAAUUAUACACCAACUUAGAUAGAAUAAAUUGAAUAUCCAAGUCUUUUCAUUACCUCCCCACCAGAGUGAAUUGACGAAUUUGUGUCAGUAAGGGAACCCGGAUAUGCUUGAGAUUCGAUUUUAUGAAUCAAAUCGCCAGAGGGGACCGCAGACACAAAAAAAAGUGUCGGCACCAUUGGUAACAUUGUCAUUGGAGAUAGAAAUGCCAAGACAAAAGGAUUUUCCUACUAAAUCGUGGAUAGGCUGAGGCAGUAUAGUUGGAUCUUCAAUCUAAGAAAACAGAAUGUUAAAAUGUUUAAUCACCAGCUAUAAUAAACAGUUGUCAUUAUAAUUAACUAUUAUUGAAGAUGUUACCUCUUCAUAGGAACCAUCCCAAAGUUGUUUUGCAUCAAAGCCAACGAUAGCCAUGGCAACUGUGUCAAGCAGCAUUACUUUGCAUGAGGCGGUGUCAUCUUUGACAAACAAAUGAAGCUUAUACCUGAUAGUUUUUACAUACAUGUUUAGUGAUCUAGGAAAUGGUAAAAUUUGACAUUAACAAAACAAAAAAUAAUAAUUUAAAAUAUUACAUAUUGCACUUACUUGGGAGCGACGUUUGUGAUAGAUGAAUGACACUUAUCACAAUUGAACAAUGGUUUUUCGUUUUUGCUUUUUAUCUUUCCAUAAUCGAUACCCCUUAAUUUGGUGACACGUCGGUUAUGUCUGUUACAACCAAUGUAGUACCAACCCCAAUCUGUGUCUAUUGAUUCAAUAGAACAAAUGAUUUUGCAACUCUCAACCUAAUAAAUAAUUUUAGAAGUGAGAUACAUAUACUAACCAAUCCAACAAAGAAUAUGUUUUACCAAUAUUACCUCAGUCGCUGCCAAUAUCUCAGAAAUGCAUCUCACUUCACAGAGAUUCCAAUCCUCUUUUUUGGGCUUAAUAAUCAGAUUAUCUUCUUUUGGCUCGACCAGAGCAAGAGGAAGAGGGUUUUCUUCAAUCCUGUGAAAGAAAAUUUCAUGUUAUUAUCAGUACAUGCUAAUAACUGUAAUCUUAAUUAUAACAUAUAAAUCGAGCUAAAAUGGUAUUUACUCACUUCUCUUUAAAUUCAAUUGCCUCCUCAAUAUUAGGAUUGAAAGACACAAUUGAAGCAUCAAAGGCAUUGGAUAUUUGUACUUCGCCUAUAUAUAAAAGGCGAUUGUCAGUACUCGUUUAGUAUAUUAUUUACAUAUAGUAUUAUCUCUUAAGCAAUAUUUUUAAGCGUGUAUAUACCUCGAAAUUCACCGAUUUUAGCAAACCGUAUUAGGCAAAUAGGAGUUGCAUCGAUUGAAUCUUCAUAAUAAGCUUCAAGCUGCUCGGCAUAUUUCCCCCACAAGCAACAUGCUAGUUCAUUACCACUGACAAUAAAUCAAAUUGUAAAAAAAUCAAGAGGAAUUCCAAGUAUAAUUUAACCAUAUAAUUUUAAUAUAUAUUUGAUAACAGCCAUUAAAUAUCAUCCAAAAUAAAUAUUACUUGCCUGCAGUCACGUAGACGGAACUGAGCCAUUUUUUUGUCCUUCCCCAUAACUUGAACUGUUCUAAUCCCUGGUAAAUCUGCAAUUUGUCCAAUGACAUCUGUGUCGAACAACAAUAGAUUGAAGUUUAGUAAACAAAAUUAUUAAAUAAUUUAAAAUUUGUAUUGUCGUUACUAUCAAUUUACCAAUUAAAAAAAUGAUCAUCGAGUUUUCCACUGUGAAUAUCUUCGUAACGUGCAAGAGAAACGAAGCUAUUAUCAGAGUGGAAAUCUGAUUUUCCGAACUCUGUAUCGCCUGUAAGAGUCAACUUGAAUUGAUGCUUUGUUGGUCGAAAUUUUCCUGAAGCACCUCCUACUUGGAAAUUCUCGACAACCCUCCACUCUCCAACAGGUAAUUCACGUUGAACACGAGAAAUCUGAUUUCUUUUGCAACAUGCUGCAAUUUUAACACCCUGAAAAACAAUAAAAAUAGCGUUCAUAUGAAGUAUUAGAGAAGAUAUAAUGUAAAAGAUAUAAACAAUAAAGAAUACAUACAGUUUCGUCAGCAAGGACCAUCUCUAAAGAAUCUCCUCCAAAACUGGUAUUCUGUCUCCAACUGUGUAGUAAUUUAGCUCGAAUUCGCCAUUCACUUUUGUAAGGCUUGACAUCAUCAAUCAUUUUUAAAGCAAUAGCCUUUGACAUUUUUUUUUUCUGCCGUAAUAGAUCGUUGAAUGAUUAAUAGGAAAAGGAGUAUUUAUGGAGGAAUGAUGACGAGGUAAAUGUAAUAUACUCAUUAAAACAAAAUAUUCUUGUUACCGAUUUGUCAUGAAUAAUAAAUAUAAAAUCAAUAGAUAUGAUUGUAACAACUAUUAAAAUUUACUUGGAGAAGUGUUGAUUCGAUAGAUCUUCUUUAAUCACAA